CGGGGACAACGCUUACUGUUUCGCUAUAUGGUUCACAGAACCAUCAUGCAGUAGAGAUCAUGAUUGCACCACUGUUUGGAUGGCCAAUCGCGAUUUUCCAGUUAAUGGCAUUCGCUCAANNCUGGCUGCAAAAAACCGGUAAUCUUGUCUUAACUGAUGCUGGUAAGUACAUUGCCUGGUCUACAGACACUGUUUCCCCCUCCUCCACAGAUCUGAUCCUCUAUGACACCGGUAAUCUUGUUCUGCAAAAUGUGGAGGGUGUUAUUCUCUGGCAAAGCUUCGAUUCACCUACCAAUACCCUUCUUCCUUCGCAACGAUUUACCAAAGAUAUGCAACUUGUCUCAUCAAGAUCCCGAACAAACUUUUCCUCUGGUUUCUACAAGCUAUUUUUCAACAACGAUAAUCUUCUUCGUCUUCUGUAUGAUGAUUCAAAGGUUACAAGUAUUUACUGGCCAACCCCAUGGCUUGUAAGCUGGGCGACUAAGAGAUUCCCCUAUAACAGCAGUAGACUUGCCUGUCUUGAUACUUUGGGCAAGUUUACUUCUUCUGAUAAUUUCUCGUUUGUAUCAGCAGAUUACGGAGUGAGACUUCAGCGAAGACUGACAAUUGACUUCGAUGGUAAUCUUCGAUUAUAUAGCCGA
rnacentral:misc_RNA from 1 species